AUAUAAGUUGAGUACCUAUUUAUGCAUAUCAAAGUUGAAGAAAAUGGUUGGCGACUGAAGUCAAGUUUGACGACCUGUGUGUUUAUUUUGCCGUUUCAGUAGCGUGGACAACUGAUAAGGACAACUAUUAUUAUAUGGUCAUAUGUAUGAUAUUUUGCACCAACGUGGUACACCACCAGAGUUGAUACUAAUAAAUUGACGAGCUUUUGCCUCUUCUUCACUAAUACAAAUCAUUCUUUGCAUCAGCUUAUAAGGUCUGAGAAUUACAAAUUAAUAAAUGCCUGAAGUGCUCGAAGAAGUUCCAUCAACAAGGUGGCGGUGGAUCACAAUCAUGUACUGUAUCUUCAAGCUUUGGACACCCUGGAUCAUUCUCGAUUACAACUGAACUUACCGAUGCUGAAAUCACGGCUUAUGGAGAAAAUCCAUGAAAUUUGCAUUGCUUGGAAAAGGAAACUAGGUUUUGUGAACAGAACUUGCAAAAAAGAGACACAAAAGAAGGAAUUGCAUCAUUUAUGGGAGAAAUGUGAUGCGAUAGUGCACUCCUGGAUCACGAGUUCAGUCUUGAAGAAUUUGCUGAACAGAAUUGUGUAUGGAUCGAAUGUGCAUGCGCUUUGGAAGGACUUGAAGGAGAGAUUCAACAAAGUGAAUCGAAUGAGAACUUUCCAACUGCAUAGAGAGAUUGCAAUACUCUCAACAAGGAUCUCUCAAGUUGCAGGGUCAAGGGGAUUGGUAAGGAAAGAGAUGGUCUGUACAUUCUGAGUGAUGCUGUGCAAGGAUGGAAUAAAGGUGCUGUGCACAUUGCUGCAACAAUAAAGAGAGAAGAAGAGCUUAGUUUGUGGCAUAGGAGGCUGGGACACUCUUCACCAUCCACAAUGAAGGGACUGGAUUUUCUAAAGGAUGCUUUCAAUAGUUACUCUACAAAUAAAUGCCCUGUAUGUCCUUAAGCGAAGCAGGCCAGAUUGAAAUUUCCCUGUAGUAGUUCAAGAUCAAAUUCACCAUUUACUCUUGUAGACUUGGAUUUGUGGGGUCCUUAUAAGACAUCGACUUUUGAUAGAAAGCAAUAUUGUGUUACUGUUGUUGAUGACCAUAGCAGAUAUACUUGGGCUUACUUGUUACGGUUAAAAACAGAAGUGAUUGUAGCACUAAAGCUUUUCUUGUCUAUAGUUAAGAAUCAAUUUGGUGUAAUGGUGAAAGUGAUUAGAACUGAUAAUGGCACAGAGUUCUUCAACUCUCAAUGUAUUGAGCUGUUCCAAGAAUUAGGAAUUAUUCAUCAAAGUAGUUGUGUAUAUACACCAUAACAAAAUGGCAUUGUGGAAAGAAAGCAUAGGCACAUCCUUGACACAGCUAGGGCACUGAGAUUUCAAGCAUAUAUUCCCAUCAAGUAUUGGAGGCUAUGCAUUAGAGCUGCUGUCUACAUUAUAAGUAGACUGCCCUCUAGUGCUUUGAAUGGCAAGGUCCCUUCUGAAUUACUACACAAGAGGAAGAAGUCCAUAGAUCAUCUUAGAGUAAUGGGAUGUCUGUGCUAAGCAACAACCACACCAAAGGGGGACAAGUUUGCUGCAUGAGCAAGAGCUUCAGCACUAAUGGGCUUUACAGAGGCUCAGAAAGGUUAUAUACUGCUGGAUCUAGUCACACAUCAGUUUUUUUUUUUUUUUUUUUUUUUUUUUAAGUAAAGAUGUGGUAUUUAGGGAAGCAGUAUUUCCUUUCCAUGAUGCUCAACCUAUUCAGCGUAGCUGCAGCCUAUUCAAUCUCCUCCAGAAGAGUUACAGUUGCUAAAUGAAGAGAUGCUUAUUCAGCUUGAUCCUCCAACUGAGGAAGAAUUCUCAUUCAUUACCUGAAACUAUAUCUCAGUGUGAACCUUAAUCUGUACAAGAAAUCCCUUCUGAACCUGUACAAAGAAUCAUUUCUCAACAGCCUGAACCCAUACAUAAAAUUCCUUCUGAACCUGUACAAGAAAUCACCUCUCAACAGCUUGCCAACUUAACUCCUACAGAAGUAUCUUCUAGAAAAUCAUCUAGAGUGAGUAAAGAACCUAUCUGGCAACUCCUCACUCUGAUCAAUGCUGUUUUAGAUUCAUUACCAACCUAUGUAAUGUCCCUUUUUCCUGUUCCAACAAAGGUGGCGAAGAAGCUUGACAAACUGAGAAGGAAUUUCUUAAGGCAUGGCAGAAAAGAAAACAGAGGAUAUAAUUUAGUCAAAUGGCAAAGCAGUCAAUUGAGCAAAGAACAGGGAGGACUUGGAAUUAGAAAUUUGAGGUUGCAGAACAGUAGCCUUUUGAUGAAGCGGUUGUGGAGGUACAAUGUUGAAGAACAAGCCUUAUGGAAGGAAGUCAUACAGUGCAAAUAUGGACAAACAAGUCCCUGGUGCACAAGUACAGUAACAAACACUUAUGGAGUAGGGGUGUGGUGAUCAAUCAGAGAUUUAUGGCCAAAAUUGGAAGAAUUCUUGUAUUAUAGUAGGCAAUGGCAGGAGAACUGGUUUUUGGAAGGAAAGUUGGAAUGGUCAGGUUGCUUUAAAGGACUCAUAUCCGAUUGAUUCUUGUUAUGCAACAAUCCUGAGGCUACUGUUUUUGACUGCUGGAGCCCUCAUGGAUGGAAAUUAAACUUCAGAAGGUAUUUGAAUGACUGGGAGGUUGAAAGAGUGGCAAAUCUUUUGAAGGAUAUUGAAGGUUUUACAGGUAUUUCUACUGAGUCUGACAAGCUGGGAUGGAAACAUAGCAGGGAUGGAGUGUUCUCAGCUAAUAGAGUUUACGAAGGGAUAUUAAUGGAUUGGCAAGAGACAACCCACACUUAUGGAGGAUAAUCUGCAAAAGCAUUGCACCACUCAAAGUAAAAUGUUUCACUUGGCUGGUGGCUAGGAGAUCUUGCCUAACACAUGAAGUGCUCCAGAAAAAGGGGCUACCUGUAGUUUCUAUAUGCUGCCUAUGCAAUGAAACAUGGGAAACAACUGCCUAUGCAAUGAAACAGGGGAAACAAACAAUCAUCUGUUUCUCCACUGCAGAUUCACAACUCAGAUUUGGGCAAUCUUUUUUAGCCUCACAAAGGUUAAUUGGACCAUGCCAGAGCACACCUCAAAUCUACUGAGUUGUUGGGUGAGUAGAGGGGGGAAGUAAGAGUCAGAAGAAGUGGGAGGAGGAUUAUCCCUGCCUGUGUUUGGUGGUCUGUAUGGAAGGAUAGGAAUGAAAGAUGUUUUGAAGAUAGAUCCAAUUCUACUCAUAAUGUGAAGGGAAAUUGUAUUGUAUCUUUUUAUUUUUGGUGCAAAGAACAAUGUAUAGAAGAAGCAGAUCAACUCGUAGAAUUCCUAGGAUCUCUGUAAGUAGCUGCCUCUUGCUCUUUUUUUUUUUCCUUUCUUUUUUGUUUUCUUUUUGGAGGUCGCCAGCAUACCCUUAAUGCUGAGGAAUACAACAGUACCAGUGUUGGAAACGGAUGUACACCCAUUGAUGGGAAAACCCAUAACUUGCUUCAUUCAUGAAGGCAAGUUACAACUCAACUAAAUAACUCCCUAUGGUAAAGAGAGAGAGAGUUAUGUGAUUCAUGAAUUUAGUGGAGUUAAGGGAUAAGGGGUGAUGUAACUCUUGAAUGAAUCGGAGUUAUAAGUUUCAAUAUUGUCCUAUAAAAGGGAUCAGUAGAGAUCAUCCAAACACAACACAAAAUACACUGAGUGAGUUUUCCUUAAACAAAAGAGUGUAGUUGCUGUGGAUAAUUUACAAGACUCCACAAGUGAUCUUGUAAUAAACCGUUCGGCAAUUGGUGGUAGUAACACACAUCGAUCCUAGAGAAGAAGGUUUGUAUUAUUCCGCAUGAAUCUCCGAGUUACAAUUCCUACAACCAGUUAAAAAAAAAAAAAGAACCUAUCUGGUUGAAAGACCGUCUCAACCAAGAAAGGGAAAACCAGAAAUUAUCCUCUCUCACAUUACUUAUCAUAUGACCAGACAUCUUCACAUUUCCAAAGUGUCUUAGCUAAAUUCUCUGCCCAACUUGAGCCUAGGACUUUUAAAGAAGCUGCUCAGGACCCAAGGUGGGUUGAGGCAACGCAACUGGAGAUACAGGCACUUGAGGCUAAUGAAACUUGGAGGAUUGUUUCUUUGCCUCCUUGAGAAAAUGUUGUGGGCUCUAAAUGGGUGUACAAAAUUAUGUAUAAAGCUGAUGGUAGUGUAGAGAGGUUAAGGCUGGGCUGGUGGCAAAAGGUUAUAGCCAGAAGGAGGGGGGCUAGAUUACCAUGACACAGUCUCAGCUGUGGCCAAGAUGGUUACAGUGAGAUCUGUUAUAGCUCUGGCUGCUUCUAAAGGAUGGCACAUGUUUCAAAUAGAUGUUUACAAUGCCUUUUUACACGGUGAUCUUAGUGAGGAGGUGUACAUGGAAUUGUCUCCUGGGUUUGGGAAGCAGGGGGAGCACAAGGUGUGUCACUUAUUGAAAUCACUGUAUGGGCUCAAACAGGCUUCUAGGCAGUGAAAUAUCAAGUUAACAGAAGCUUCUAUGCAAAUAGCGCACAAUCCUAUUUUCCACGAGCGUACAAAGGACAUCGAGAAUGAUUGUCAUUUCAUUCGGGACAAGAUCAAAGGAGGAGUGGUGGAGGCUUCUUAUGUUGGAACCAAAGAUCAGCAGGCAGAUCUUACAAAAGGGCUUGGUCGAGUUCAGCACACAUAUUUGUUGUGCAAGCUAGGAGUCUUCUACUUACUUCACCCUCCUGCUUGAGGGGAGUGUUAAAUUCUACACUAAUACAGUGCGCAUGAGCUACACAUGGAUGCAUCCUAAGUUGGUUAGUUAAUGCAUCAGUUGAAAGUUGUUAGUUUAGUUUGACAGCUGGCACAGCUUUGUAUAAAUAACUGUAUGCAUACCAAAUGAUUAAAAAACAGAAAAAUAUCUUUUCCAUUUCUCCAUCCUUUCUUCUCUCUCGAGCUCCAUGUGAGUUUCUAGUUUUCUUCCGGAUCUAAGGAAAGUUUACCGCGACGAAAACAAAUAACCCAAAACUUUGCAUACAGAGAUACCACUAAUACAAAUGGCAUCAACAUGGUAACAAUCACAACGACCAUCAAUCCAGUAACAGGUUAAUCUAAGAACCCAUUUUGCUUACUAAGCCAAAAAAGAGAAAUGAAACUAAAUUACACAUAACCAUUAACUAGUUGUGGUCUGAGUAUAUCAGAUCCUCUGUAUCAAUUCUGCUCUAAUUGGAGCUUAUUACAUUCCAAUACUGGUAACGAUUUCGAUUAAAAAAAAUGAUUCUUAUGGUAAAUGGCGCCACGUAAGAAAAUUAGGGUGGGACAUGAGGACUUAACGGAGUAGGGAUAAACAUGACUUUUUUUAGAGUACAACGGCAAAUAUGGCCCUAAAGUAGGAUGACAAGGCAAAUAUGUUAAAUAUUUAUAAUGAAGGACAAAUAUAGCUUAUUUCUGAGAGUACAAGGGCAAAUCUGACCCUUUUCUGUAAUUAAAGACCCACAAGGAUCAAUUCACCUUUAUCAGAACAUAAUAGAGAGGUAAAAGUCUUUGACUUGAGGCAGCAAAUGGAAAUUCAUAUUUUUGUUGAUCAAGUCUAACUAAACAACAUUUUCCUAAUAAAGUUUUUCAGCAUACACUGGAUAAGAAGCAUACAAUGAUAAUGAAUGGAGGAAAAGAAUGGACCACAAUCACAAAAGGGAUACACAUUUGAAGAAGCUUCUUCUUACAUAUCUUCCCAUCUUCACCCGUCAUAUCUUUAAGUGAUGUGUCCUAGCGGUUGCAAAAGUGGGUUCCAGAUAUAAAGUCUGAAGCUGACUUUCAUGUAAUAUAGUUAAGAAAAGUAGUUGACAUCACUCUAUCGGAGAGAUGAGACACCCUGGGUUCUUUUCUGUAUUGUUCAUGUGGGGUGUUGCAGCUGCAAAUGUGCACUUUUCUUUGUUUUCGUUAUGAGGUUCCAUUUUUCUUGAUCUAGUCUUUCCCCUACUGUUGUUAGCAGGCAAAUACAGCCUGAUUGUAGUCAUCUAUGAAUUCAUUUCUGUCCAUUUUUCUAUUUGUUUUUGUCUUUUCAGUUUUCCUUAGUUUGAUACUUUGAUCACAUGAUAAAUAGUGCUGCUUGAUUUUUUUCUUAUUGCACUUUGUAUUGUGUUUAAUGCCUGCUGUCUUGAUCUAUUCUCUUUCAAUAAGUUUGUAUGUGGUCUCAGUUUGUUUCUUAUAUACUAGAGAUUUGCUUAUA